UUACGGUCAUAUCACACUGAAAUCAGUUCUCGUACGAUCACUGAAGUUAAGCAACGUCGAGACAGGUCAGUACCUAGAUGAGUGACCGAUUGAGAAUACCAGGUGCUGUAAG